rnacentral:rRNA from 1 species
UCUCCGUAGGUGAACCUGCGGAGGGAUCAUUACACAAAUAUGAAGGCGGGCUGGAACCUCUCGGGGUUACAGCCUUGCUGAAUUAUUCACCCUUGUCUUUUGCGUACUUCUUGUUUCCUUGGUGGGUUCGCCCACCACUAGGACAAACAUAAACCUUUUGUAAUUGCAAUCAGCGUCAGUAACAAAUUAAUAAUUACAACUUUCAACAACGGAUCUCUUGGUUCUGGCAUCGAUGAAGAACGCAGCGAAAUGCGAUAAGUAGUGUGAAUUGCAGAAUUCAGUGAAUCAUCGAAUCUUUGAACGCACAUUGCGCCCUUUGGUAUUCCAAAGGGCAUGCCUGUUCGAGCGUCAUUUGUACCCUCAAGCUUUGCUUGGUGUUGAGCGUCUUGUCUCUAGCUUUGCUGGAGACUCGCCUUAAAGUAAUUGGCAGCCGGCCUACUGGUUUCGGAGCGCAGCACAAGUCGCACUCUCUAUCAGCAAAGGUCUAGCAUCCAUUAAGCCUUUUUUUCAACUUUUGACCUCGGAUCAGGUAGGGAUACCCGCUGAACUUAAGCAUAUC